AUGGAGAGCUUUUGCCUUGAAGGGCAUGGACAGAGGUUUGCACACUGGACCGAAGAAGCAUCCCAGCUCCUUCAGGGAACCAUUGAGCCUGUCUUUAGGGUGUCAAAAUCCACCACCACCAAACAGUCACCCAGCAGAAGAGUUGUGGUUGAAGAGGACACUGAUAAGGUGCAACAGCCCACCAUUGUGAGAGACCUUCAUACAGCUUGGUACUGGGUACAAAAUCACAAAGACUUAUUCUGUGGAGAGGUGACGGAGCCUGCUUUUCUGCAGAUGAACAGUGACGAUCAACAAAAUGCACUCAGAAAGGCCCUGGGCAGUGAAUUCCCUGAAGCAAAGGAUGACUUUUUGUUUAUUUUUCAGUUUCAAGAUGACAUGGAAACAUUUUUGUAAUACUGUGUUGAUAAACAAGGCCUGAAGGUCAAUGCCAUGUUCCUCAAUCAGUAAUUAUUGUAGUAGACGAGGGAGGAAGGGAAUGAAUGAAUGAAUGAAUUUGAAUAAAUAAUUUGAAAAAAUAUAUAUUCUUGUGUUU
ensembl:lncRNA